rnacentral:rRNA from 1 species
UACGUAGGGGGCUAGCGUUGUCCGGAAUCAUUGGGCGUAAAGCGCGUGUAGGCGGUCCGGUCAGUCCGCUGUGAAAGUCGGGGGCUCAACCCUCGGAUGCCGGUGGAUACUGUCGGGCUUGAGUACUGAAGAGGCGAGUGGAAUUCCUGGUGUAGCGGUGAAAUGCGCAGAUAUCAGGAGGAACACCAAUUGCGAAGGCAGCUCGCUGGGACGUUACUGACGCUGAGACGCGAAAGCGUGGGGAGCAAACAGG